CAGUCGCCACGGGAAUACGAAGGGUGCAAGCGUUACUCGGAAUUACUGGGCGUAAAGCGUGCGUAGGUGGUGGUUUAAGUCCGUUGUGAAAGCCCUGGGCUCAACCUGGGAAUUGCAGUGGAUACUGGGUCACUAGAGUGUGGUAGAGGAUAGUGGAAUUUCCGGUGUAGCAGUGAAAUGCGUAGAGAUCGGAAGGAACAUCUGCGGCGAAGGCGACUAUCUGGGCCAACACUGACACUGAGGCACGAAAGCGUGGGGAGCAAACAGGAUUAGAUACCCGAGUAGUCCCUGUCUCUUAUAC
rnacentral:rRNA from 1 species